CCAGUGUUCAACAGCAGCCAAAGGGGGGCACCUUCACUGCUAAUUCCUGCGGCUGAAAAACUGUCACGGACGAUUUCUUUCAGAGGAGGCAGGUAGCCUGGUCUCAGGACCAUCCCAGAGACAGAUGGGACAACAGACUGAGAAGCCCAUGAAGAGAGAAAAAGAAGGUAAAGAAGGAGCUGAGGAUUCCAUGAAGAAAACUCACUGGUUGACCAGAAAGACUGGAGUCUCCUCUUCGUAGACAGUCAAAAGCCACCUGGACAUGGACCUGGGCAACCUGCUCUAGGUGUCUCUGAACAUCUAAUUGGAACAGAUGACCUACAGAAUUCCCUUCCAUUCUCAACCAUUCUAUGAUUCUGUGAGUGUUAGUUUUAUGGUAUAGAAACAAAAGACUCAGCCGUUUGAAAGAUAACCAGUUGGAUGUAAAUAAUUUUCCAUCUCUGAAGAGCAAGAUUUGACAAACUUGGUUAAAAGGUUAAAAUAAAAAUGAUUUUACAGGAAAAUCAAAAACCUCUACUACAAUGGAUGUAAGAUCGAUCUAUUUUUUGUUGUGCUGAAGAGUAGCACAAAGAAAAAAUAAAUCUAUUUCCUAUUAUUUGCUUCCCAUAUGAUAUAUGUAAUAAAGACUUUAGAAAUUAAAUCAUGUUUUGAAUAUGCAAAAACUUCCUGAAUUUAGUUUUAUGAAUAAUGCUUCAGUUUUUUCAGAAAUGUGCUUCAAGCUCAGACCAUUUUAAUAAUACCCUCCAA